CAACGCCGUACCAUGGCACCAUGGUACUUAGGCCUACUAGACCUAGACCUAUUAAAGAUGUCCUUAAUUAACUUCAUUUAAUGCAUCUUCUGGAGAAUUUCGAAAGGGAGAAGAUUACCAGUGACGAAAUCUGCGCACUGUCAGAUGCCCAACUUGAAAAUUUGAGUGUGACAACAAUUGGUGGUAGGCACCGACUAAGAAUAAAUUGUAGACAAACAGGAUCCAUUUUGUCUAGAUUUAUGCCAGCCAGACACAGCCCCAACACCAAAAAAGGAAAGCACUCGAAGACGCCAUGGACUCGGAAGAUAGUUUGCCUGUCAGAUCCAUCGACAAUAACACCAAAAUGUUGGCAAAAGCAACAACUAGCAGAAGCUGGGCUUAGUGAAAAUAACAUAACAGUACAUAACAGUAUAAAUCCGGAUGAAUUCCAGGAAGUACUAUAUGCUAACUUUCCCAAGCUGAGGGAUGGUGGGGUUUAGAGAUAAUAAUAUGCUUUGGGAGUGGAAGAAAGCUUACCCCAAUUAGGGGACAUAUUCACCCUGAAUAUAAAAGAAAAAUCAGGUCAAUGUAGAGUCUAUAUACGACCAAUUUAACAUGCACUAAACAUGGAUUCAGAAAGGGUAAAGAGGCAUAAUAUGAUCAGUUAUCAAUCAAUCAAUCAGUCAAAUUCACCUAUAUAGCGCAAGUAUUUAUUAAAUAAUAUUCAAAGGCACUCAAGUUAUGUGUGAAUUUGAAAGACAUCCUUAAGAACGUUCUAAUAGAUAAAAUAUAAGUGACAGUUUAUAAAUGAUUAUUAAUACAUCAUUUUUAAUUGUUUACUCUUUUAGGAAACUGAUGAGGACUCAGAAGAAGUGUCCUAAAUCCCAAAAUAACAUUUCAUUCUGUAUUUUAAAGAAACAUUUGGCAAGCUAUGCAAGUAGCAGACCUAGUCCUCCAUCAACCGUAUCCAUACCACCUGAAGAACAGAAAAUGAUACAUUGUAUGAUCUAGACCUCACUCAUAGUCAUACUCCUAAUGAAGUUCAUCACCAUCUAUCUUUCCUAUCAGGAAGGUGGAUCAAAAACUUCAGACGUCUACUUGACUGUUUUUUUGAGCUGAACCGAACUACACUUACCCACCAAGCAGUAUGUGACAUUUGUGUGCAGCUGACAGGGAAGAAUAAAAUAUAUUGUAAAUAAAGUAAUAUAAUGUAAAUAAUUAAAUAAAUGAAAAAUAAUUUAAUAUAUUUGUAAUUAAUGUAUAAUGCAGUAAUUGUUUCUAUGGUUCUAAUCAAUAAAUGCAUCACUAUUAUGUUCAGUUACAUGUUUGUCCAAGUUUAUUUAGUGUGAAUUGUACUUCAUGUUUUUGCAGCAUCAUAAUUUUCUAAUUAAAUAUUCCGUGGAAUAGCAGUCGUACAAUUGUGUUUUUUUAAUUAGGCAGCUGCUGUGUUUUGUUUUAAAAAAAUCAUGAUGCUGUAAAUUACAUAAUAUUCUUUAGUUUCUUUUUGUACAAAACAAAAUAUAGACACACUAUAACAUCAGAAGUUGGUGGCCAUUUUGAAUAUAUAAUUACAAUACCAAUGUUCAUUAAUGUACAACACCUUAGAAGUAGCAUGGUACUGCUGGAGAAACACCGAUGUCCAAGUCUGUUUAUUUAUCCAAGAUUUUUGUUUUGGUGGACAUUUUGAAAAAUGACAGCCAUUUUAAUGAAAGUAUUCUUGAAAUAGGCAGCUGAAUUUGGCAUAGAAUCAUUCCUAGAGAUCUGAAAACAUGCAAAAAUACUUACAACACAUGAUAUUAUUACUUUUUUUUUUAAAUUCUUAACAUUUAACUGUUUAAUGUGAAAUCUGAGGAAACUGGCGGCCAUUUUGAAUAUACAAUUAGCAAAGUUCGGUGAUGCAUAUCACGCGUAACGCCAUCCUCGUUCCGUUAUCAAGUGAUGGUUUUAUAGAUUUUUAAUUCUUUGGGGUCCAAGCCUCAAUAUAUUAUGAUAUAUUGCACUAUAC